rfam:Clostridium sp. CAG:632 genomic scaffold, scf110
UGAGUCGGACAAGUGAUCGCGGCUGCAUGUGCCGAAAGGCCGCAGGUGAGGAAAGUCCGGGCUUCAUAGGGCAGGGUGCCGGAUAACGUCCGGUGGAGGCGACUCCCAGACUAGUGCAACAGAAAUAAACCGCCAGACUGCUGGUAAGGAUGGAAAGGCGAGGUAAGAGCUCACCGCUUGACUGGUAACAGUCAAGGCUCUGUAAACUCCACCCGAAGCAAGACCGAACAAAAAGCAAUACAGUUGCCCGCUGUGCUUUUGGGUAGGUUGCUCGAGCCGAUCGGCAACGAUCGGACUAGAUAGAUGAUCACUCAACGACAUAACCCGGCUUAUCGUCCGACUCAUAAA